rnacentral:lncRNA from 1 species
UUGAGUUCCCUUCAGGGUUUGGAGGCUGCUUUGAGUUCUCUGUCAGGUAGUCUCUUCAGGUUUUGUCCAGGGAAACCUCAAAGUGUUUUGCCUCUCUUCCUUUUUCUGUCUGUUCUCCCUCUUUUAUAACCUGAUUUUCAUGGCUUUGUGGGCUCAACUGAGAGAGGUCCAUGUCCAAGAUUUUUCUUUUAUUUAUUUUUUUAUUUAUUAUUUUUUAUUUACUUAUUUAUUUAAUUAAUUUUUUC